CUUCUGUGUCCUGCCACAGUUGGUACUGAUUUGACUGUCUCUGCGGAGAAGCCAAGGAUCAAAUGCUCCAUGGCGCCAGACUGUUUUCUUUUGCAGCUCGCAGGUCACCAGGAUACUUAAGAAGUUUGCGUUAAUUAUACCACGUUUGCCAUCAAAGAGGGGAUAUUAACCCUUUCAAGCUGUUGCAGGAAAGCGGUGGAGUCAUUUGGAAGAACUGCUGAAGACCCCAGUCAGAAGAAACACGCUCCUACGGUCGCGGAGGCUGCAGCCCCCGUCCUGACAAGAUGAUGGAUUAUGGCCCCAAUUCUGCGAG